rnacentral:rRNA from 1 species
UACGUAGGUGGCAAGCGUUAUCCGGAUUUACUGGGUGUAAAGGGCGUGUAGGCGGGACUGCAAGUCAGAUGUGAAAACCACGGGCUCAACCAUUGUAUGCAUUGGAAACUGGUAGACUUGAGUGCAGGAGAGGAGAGUGGAAUUCCAUGUGUAGCGGUGAAAUGCGUAGAUAUAUGGAGGAACACCGGUGGCGAAAGCGGCCCUCUGGCCUGUAACUGACACUGAGGCUCGAAAGCGUGGGGAGCAAACAGG